rnacentral:rRNA from 1 species
UCUCGUCUGAUCUCGGAAGUCAAGCAAUCUCGGGCUUGGUUAGUACUUGGUUGGGUGACCGCUUGGGAAUACCAAGUGUGAUAAGCA